rnacentral:sRNA from 1 species
AUAGUGUAGAUUUCAAAUUAAUACUAAAAUAUAAGGUAUACAAUCAAAUUAAUCCUAAAGUAAAACACUUCUGCAAAAUUUAUAUAACUAGUUGUUUAUAAUCAUAUGCCAAUAAUCACAAUACAAUAACUUCUUAAAAGCAAAUCUAAAUGUAAUGUCAGAACAAUAUAAAUCUAGGAAUUUCCAAUGUUACAUGAAACAGAGAAGAUUUUUUACAUAUUGGUACAUCAAGCUCUACAUUCAAGAUAUCUUUCGAAUAAUGUAUAUAUUAGCUUAACUUGCGAGAGGGUAAAACCCCAAAGAUUCAAUAAAGAAACCCUAAAUUGAAGCCCAAGAAAUUCAAUAACGAUACCCUAAAUUGAGACACGAAAACCUUGAAUAAAGCGAAAUCAAAAUAAAAAUUGAGGCAUAACAAAGCUAUAUAUACUAGUGAAUAAAGAAUCCCUGCUUCACAUUGACCAAGAAACCACAAAUUUGAAACAAAAAUCAUGACGAAGAGGUUAGACUUUGAACUUAAUCAUAUUCAAAACUUACACUUCUACUAUACAAAUGAACCAUAAACUCUACAUCACACUACAUAUCUAUAGAAGUUCCAUCAAACCACAAUGAUACCGCUGCUGCUUCCCUCCAUCUCUUGCUCCUUCCAUCUCUUUACAAGUUCUAAUACACUUGUGUCCUCCCUGUCGUUGUCUACGAUUUCACUAGGCUUCCAAGUGUCACAGAGUGAGGUAAGUGUAGAGACAACAUACUUCAUCUCUGGUCUCUGAGUGAGCUCCUUGGCGCAGCAGUGAAUUGCUAGUCUCGCUACGUCGUCAAUGAUGUUGCGGUUCUCUUCAUUCACUUAAAUUGUUUCGUCAAUGGCUUCUCUAAAAGAGUUUUUGUCGAUGCAGACUCUCCUGAACCAACUGAGAAUGUGAUGUUCAGCAUCUGAUCGCUUCUUGUCUAAAGCUUCCUUGCUUGUGACUAACUCCAUGAGAAUAACUCCAAAACUGUAGACAUCAGCUUUUGUAGUUACCCUUCCAAUCAAUGCACUUACAAAGUUUAAGCUGUUAGAUAACAAUAACAUUGGUGAUCCGAUGUAAUAAACAUUAACAGAUUAGAGAAGAAGCAUACAUGCGUAUUCAGGUGCCAUGUAACCAUAUGUGCCGAGGAUAGACUUUGUCAUGAUUGAUUCGUUGCCCUCUGCUGUAGAUCGGGUCAAACCAAAAUCUGAAACCCUACAAAAAAACAAAAACUUUUAAGAGAAAAAUAACGGUAAUAUCGAUUGGACUACUUUUUUCGAUCAGCUUUUUUGUAAAAUUUGAGGAUAUUAAAUGAUCGUAUUUAAAAUUAUUGUCAAAAUACUUAGAUUUGUUAUUU